GCAGUCCAUGGCCGAGCGGUUUGACAUCCCACCGCCAUCACCGUCGCCAUCGCCGCCAGCCACAUGAUGAUGCAGUCGUCAGGGAUUUGGCUCUCCUGGGAGCCUCUGUGUCAGCAAGUGCCGCCGGUGCCCCACAGCUUAUCGAUGCUCCAUCUGCCCAUGGCGGUGAGGACGGAUCAUUGAGAAUUUGAGAUGCCACCAUGCAUGGACCUUGCUGCCGGAUACGACAAGGUUCUCCCAGCAUCGAUCCUCCGAUCCUCUGGAGGAGUUCAAUUGGAUCGCCCGGUAAUGUUGAUCUUUGAUUCGUACCUCAUAAGUUGAUGCUUAGUUUGGUUGUAUUGUAACUGGCUUGUCAGUACUUGAGAUUUGGUUUUGUGGCUGCUAGAAAUUUUGACGUUUGGAUUUGUUAGUGUUGUGCUUUUAGCGACGGUCAUUUAAUUUUCCUGUCGUUGGUGUUUAGGACUUGGAUGGUUACUGUAACUGCGUGCAGGUGCAGCUUAUCUGUCUCAGUCGUCGUGUUUUUUGUGUUUUCUGACCAGUCACCAUAGUCAAAUCCCAAUUAUUUUA